UGUUUUCUUUUGCAGGGUUUCGUAAGUGCUGCCUGAGACGCACAUUCAGUCACUGGUCGCCCUGCGGAGGCUUCACUUGUUCCUCUGCGCCUCUGAGCUACGUUCCCGUCAGCGCACAGCGGAAUCAUCCCAACAUGGCUCGGAGUUCUUGGCUCUUGCUGAGUUACGCGUUGUUUGCUCUCUCGUUUGGCACGGAAGGGAAACGCAGACGUGAGAGAGUUUACUAUGUGGGGAUCAUUGAGGAGGACUGGUCUUACGCGCCAAGUGGAAAAAACCUGCUGAACGGCCAAGCGAUCGGAGACGACGAGCAUGCGUCCGUUUUUCUGGAAAGAGGGCGACACCGCAUCGGAAGUGUUUACAGGAAAGCAAUGUACAGAGAGUAUACGGACGACACCUACAGUCAUCUGGCUCCUCGGCCCGAUUGGCUCGGUUUUCUGGGACCCAUACUGCGAGCUGAGGUUGAUGAUGUCAUCAUAAUUCACCUGAAAAACUUUGCCAACAGGAGCUACUCCAUACAUCCCCAUGGGCUUUUUUAUGAGAAGCAUACAGAAGGUGCUCUGUAUCCAGACAAGACGUCAAAUGCUUUGAAGGAGGAUGACUCCGUUCCUCCAGGGGGCAGCUACACUUACCGCUGGGUGGUCAAACCAAGGUUUGCCCCAACAAAUGAUGAUGCCAACUGCCUGACCUGGGUCUACCACUCCCAUGUUGAUACCCCGAAGGAUGUUUCGUCGGGCCUCAUUGGGCCUCUCAUCACAUGCAAAAAAGGAACUCUGAAGAAUCCUAGAAGAAGUUUUUUAUCAUAUGCAAACCCAGCCUCUGAGCCGGCCCGGAACGACGUCGACCAGGACAUCUACUUGAUGUUCAGUGUGGUUGACGAAAACCUGAGCUGGUAUCUAGAAGAAAAUAUUCAGAGAUGCAUUGACCCAGAUGGGGUCUCUAUGGACGAUCCAGACUUUGAGGAAUCAAACUUGAUGCAUGCUAUAAAUGGGUACACGUUUGGUAAUCUGCCCGGUAUCAAGCUAUGCCAGCACCGUCCCGUAGCCUGGCACAUGUUUGGCAUGGGCAACGAGGUGGAUAUCCACAGUGCUUUUUUCCACGGAAACACCCUGCUGGACCGCGGCCACCGCACCGACACUAUCAGCCUGUUUCCGGCCACAUUCGCUACUGCUACGAUGGUCCCAAAAAUGAAAGGAAAGUGGCUGCUGAGCUGCCAGGUUAACGACCACUUAGAAGCUGGCAUGCAGGCCUUUUACGAAGUGAUGUCAUGUGAUUCGUCAUUUGGCAGCACGGUAAUACCUGGUCGUGUGAGGAACUUCUACCUGGCUGCAGAGAAAGUUCUAUGGAAAUAUGCUCCUUCAGAAAAGGAUUUAAUUAACAACACAACUCUCACUGAAGCAGGGAGUGCAUCAGAGGUGUUUUUUAGCAAGGAUAACGGGGCAAUUGGAGGUGACUAUCUAAAAGUAGUGUACAAAGAAUACACAGACAGUACCUUCACCCAGGUCAAAGCAUCACCAUCUGAUCAUGGAUUCUUGGGUCCUGUUCUGAGGGCAGAGGAGGGAGAUAUUCUCUAUGUGACCUUCCUGAACAAGGCCGAUAGAAACUGCAGCAUUCAUCCUCAUGGACUGCACUACCACAAACACUUCCAGGGAGCCAGCUACAAAGAUGAUGUUGCCAAACCAGGGUCACACGUCCACCCUGGUGAGAAAUUCACCUACACGUGGCAGGUGCUGGAAGGUCCAUCCUCGUCCGAUCCUGCCUGUAUUCCUUACAUGUACUACUCGGCCACGGAUCCUGUCAUGGAUACCAACUCCGGGUUAGUCGGACCUCUGCUUGUGUGCAAACGAGGAGCACUGGGGGAGAAUGGCAUCCAGAAGGGUGUGGAUAAGGAGUUUUUCCUGCUUUUCUCUGUCAUGGAUGAAAACUUGAGCUGGUAUUUGAAUGAGAACAUUGAGCGUUUUGGCAAUGCUGAGACAGACGUAGAAGACGAGACCUUUGAGGAGAGCAAUAAAAUGCACGCUGUAAAUGGACGGAUGUAUGGGAACCUUGCCGGGCUGGAGAUGUGCGCCGGGGACAAUGUCAUGUGGUACACCCUCGGCCUCGGCACAGAGGCAGACAUACACGGUGUCUAUUUCGAGGGAAAUACCUUUAAGAAACAGAGCACAACGCGCGACACGGUCAGCCUGUUUCCUCACACCACUGCCGCUCUCUUCAUGCAGCCAAAUAAUCACGGUGUGUUUGAGGUGAGCUGCAGAACAACAGACCACUUCUCCGCUGGCAUGAGACACUUGUACACAGUGAAACAUUGCCAGGGGAAAAGAGGGAACGCCCCACGCUUUGAGCCGACCAGGACCGUGAAGUACUUUAUCAGCGCUGAGGAAAUCGAAUGGGACUACUCUCCUACAAGAGACUGGGAGCUGGAGAAGCACAAAACAGGCCCAGAGGAGAGUCCAGGCAAUAUAUUUGUGGGUAAAGGGAAGAACAGGAUUGGCUCCCGCUAUAAGAAGGUGGUGUAUCGAGAAUACACAGACGAAACAUUCAGACAUCAGAAGAAGCGGCAGGAGCACUUGGGCAUCUUGGGUCCGAUAAUCCAUGGAGAGGUGGGAGAGCAGCUUCUGAUUGUGUUUAAAAACAAAGCCAGUCGGCCUUAUUCCAUCACAGCACAUGGAGUUAAAGCCAGCGGUUCACACGUUGCUGUUAAACCUGGCCACAUUCUUGAGUUGACUUGGGAUAUUCCUGAAAGCUCUGGCCCGGGGUUUUCAGAUCCGAACUGCAUCUCCUACGCCUACUUCUCAUCUGUUGACUACAUUAAGGAUCUCUAUAGCGGUCUUCUGGGGCCCCUGGUGAUCUGCAGGCGCUUGACUCUGCGUCGUGACACCAGACAGAGGGGGGAGAUAGACCGGGAGUUCGCUCUGCUGUUUUUGGUGUUUGACGAAAACCAGUCCUGGUACCUGGAGGAAAACAUUAAAACGUACCUCGGUGUUGAUCCCGAAACGUUUGAAAAAGACAGUGACUUUGAGGAGAGUAACCUGAUGCACGGAAUCAGUGGUAGAGUGUACGGCAAUCUCCACGGACUGGUGAUGAAGCAGGACGAGAAAGUCGACUGGUACCUGCUCGGCAUGGGCAACGAAAUAGACAUGCACACGGUUCACUUUCACGCUGAAACCUUCAUCUACAGGACGGACCAUGUGCACCGCGCAGAUGUUUUCGAUUUGUUCCCUGGGACUUUCCAGACUGUUGAGAUGGUGGCGGCAAACCCAGGGACCUGGUUACUCCAUUGUCACGUCAGCGACCACAUCCAUGCAGGCAUGGAGACCACUUAUACCAUAAAAGCUGCAGAGAAGUCCUUGCCAGGUAAAGGUCUUGUUCUUUUGGUUUUGCAAAUCACAUAAAAAACGUUUUUUUCAACACAGCAUGUGCACACAUGUAGUAAAUAUAACAAUAUGUACAUGCUGACCUGCUUUGAUUGUAGAAUCUGUUUGAGUUACUUUAUGUAACUUCAUUUUAAUAGGAAAGUUUUUAUUCAUGUUCCAUAACUAUUUGAGGUAGGAGAGAGAGGGAUCUCUCAUUGGAUCAUCCCCAGUGUGCUUUUAUAAGCUCUUCUCUUCAGUGCAGCCAGCAAAUGCUUUGUUGUUUAUUUAUUUAUUUAUUUUUAAGGAUUUAAGUCCAGGAACUGAGACAGCCAUAGACUAAAGGUUGAUUUUAUGCCCGGAGAACUAUUUCUGUGUUGACUUGUUACGGAUCAGAAUAAUCAUUGGUCCACCUUUAGGCUUGUUUGUCACAAUUUCAGUUAUUUUCAUCAUUACAGCAGAUAUGAGUACAUUAAGGAGAAAAGGGCUAUUUUCUUGUCAUCCCUCGCUUUAGGAAGACCUACACAAUUGAUUCGUUUGAUUAGUAUAUUUUCCUACUUGUCUCAUUUGAGUGUAUAAAUGUGAUAAAUGUAAUUUAUCACAUUUAUACAGGGAAGGGAAAAUGGGAAUUUUUGGGGAGCUGAUAACGGUUGCAUCUGGGAGUUUAUUAAAAACUGUUAGGCAGCAGACAGGCAGGGGAGCCGGUAUUGGAACCAGACACGGUGUUGCGUUUAAAAGGUUUAUUGGCAAAAAUACAUAGAAACCUCUGGAGGAGCAAGCUGGAGAUCGUGGCAGUGGAGAGAACUGGCUCGCUCAUUGCAGAGGUGAAUGACAAUAUAGCCGAGGCUUGAGUGGAGUCCAGGAGACAGGCUUGGGACAGGCACCGGUGGUCGGACACUGGGUAGACUACCCCAAGGGACAAGGCGAGGCUCGUAAUCGAGGGAACAGUCCAAGGUCAUGGUACGGAAAACGGAAGCUUUGCAAGGGAGUAAAAUCCAGAAAACACGGCACACAGCCAUGAAGACCACUGACCAUCUACUGGAUGAAAGCUUUCAAUAAUCUGACGCAGUCUUGCUUUCUGAGGAGAACUUCUAAAGAGCAGGAAACAGGUGUGAGGCAUGAGCCGCAUUGCAGAGCAGCGGAGAGGCAGGCACGCAGGUGUGGUCCAUAGGUUCCCAUAAGUAGAAAAAAAAAAAAAACACUUUUGCCUGAAGUGCUGCUCAGUGGUGAGGGAGUAGUUGAGUAUUAGUACUCAUACAUUUUUUAAGAAUUAGCAUAUAGCAGUUCAUGUAAUUUACAGGAAGAUUUUUGUUUAUGGUUGCCUUUUCAUUAUACCAAGAUGUUUCUUCUGACUGGAAGUGGUACUGAUGUUUUGGACUGGCCCAGCCAAAGUACCCUCUUGAAACUGUGCAGGGAGCUAAAGUGAUGGAAAGGAAGCCUUCCAGCUGUACAGACUUGGAGCUCAUCACCACAGAUUAAUUGUUAGAAUAAGAGUGGAAGCGUACAAAAAGCUGGUCAACUAUUAUAAGACAGAUUUUAACAACAUGAUGCCAAUAAAGCUUUUUUUAAGAGUUCAUUGUAAAGGGCAUACUAUUUAUUUUCCAAAACGUAUACUCCUUUUACUUAGUUUGAAUGUGUUUUAAGAACUGGCUGUCUCAUUUUUCUAUUAAAAACAGAUUUAUUAGUUAAGUGAUUAUUAGUUAAGUUAAGAUUAAAAUCUAACAGAGGUAUAAAUAAUUCUAUACUUAAUGAAAGAUUGCCUUGUUUUUUAUUUCAAUUGUUUACAAUAUAACAAUAACUAAUAUGCCACGCAAAAUACCCCAUAUCUGCAUGGUGUUUGAACCUUCCGCCUUCCACGCGCAUGGUGUGUGUGUGUGUGUGUGUGUGUGUGUGUGUGUGUGUGUGUGUGUGUC